rnacentral:tRNA from 1 species
UUAAUUGAAGCCAAAAAGAGGCUUAUUAUUGUUAAUAAUAAAACUGAAAUUAUAUUUCCAAUUAAA